rnacentral:rRNA from 1 species
GGAUCGACGGGUCGGUCGCGCCUCCGGUGUGUACUGGCCUGGUCGGUUCCUCCCUUCUGAAGAACCGCGAUGUCAUUAAUUUGGUGUCGUGGGGAAUCAGGACUGUUACUUUGAAAAAAUUAGAGUGUUUAAAGCAGGCAUUCGCUUGAAUACAUUAGCAUGGAAUAAUGAAAUAGGACGUUUGAUCCUAUUUUGUUGGUUUCUAGGAUUGACGUA